rfam:Babjeviella inositovora NRRL Y-12698 unplaced genomic scaffold BABINscaffold_8, whole genome shotgun sequence.
GCCUCUAUGGCCAAGUGGUAAGGCGCCUCACUUGUAAUGAGGUGAUCGCCAGUUCGAUUCUGGCUGGAGGCA